rnacentral:rRNA from 1 species
UACAGAGGUCUCAAGCGUUGUUCGGAUUCAUUGGGCGUAAAGGGUGCGUAGGCGGCGCGGUAAGUCGGGUGUGAAAUCUCGGAGCUUAACUCCGAAACUGCAUUCGAUACUGCCGUGCUUGAGGACUGGAGAGGAGACUGGAAUUUACGGUGUAGCGGUGAAAUGCGUAGAUAUCGUAAGGAAGACCAGUGGCGAAGGCGGGUCUCUGGACAGUUCUUGACGCUGAGGCACGAAGGUCAGGGGAGCAAACGGG